AGUGAACGCUGGCGGCGUGCCUAACACAUGCAAGUCGAACGGCAAGACAGUAAGCUUUCGCCCUUACCGUUGGCGAGUGGCGGAUGGGUGACGCGUACAUCGCAUUCUUCUUUUUCGUGGGUGACAACGUAGGGCAGCUGACACUACUAGCGCAUAUGUCCAACGGCUGAAAGCAGUAGUUCUUCACAGCUUUGCUGUCACUAUUAGCUGAUUCCGCGCCGCAUUAGCGAGUUGGUAAGGUAACGGCCUACCAAGGCGACGAUGCGUAGCUGAGCUGAGAGGAUGAUCGGCCACACUGGAACUGAGACACGGUCCAGACUCCUACGGGAGGCAGCAGUAGGGAAUAUUGGGCAAUGGGCGAAAGCCUGACCGAGCAAUGCCGCGUGAGUGAUGAAGGUCUUCGGAUUGUAAAACUCUGUUAUUAGGGAAGAAAAAAUGUGUAUGAAUCCACGGAUGUUCUGACGGUACCCAAUCAGAAAGCACCGGCUAACUACGUG
rnacentral:rRNA from 1 species